GCCAGAGCUAUGAGAGGGUCUGGCCAGUCAUGCCGCAGCUGCAUGAAGCGCCAUCACCCCACACAGAGCGGGUCUGCUGAGAAGCCAUCUCCACAGUUGGGGUCUGCAAUGUAGGGCCUGCCUGCCUGGGAAGGCGCCUGGCUUGUCAGGUCCCCUGUUAGACCAUGGAGCAUCCACACGCCUGCCUCGUUCCAAGAGCAGAGGGAGUAACUGAGGAGACGAAAUAAGAAAGGAUGCAAUCCACAUGUUUCAGAAGAUCAUUUAGGACCACGUGGAAGGUGGAUUACAAGACAGCACAUCCAGAUACAGGGAGACAGACAACUGCAGCCUUGGUCCCCAUCAGAGACGAUGGCCUGACAAGGUCCAUAAAGACCCCGCUCUAAAGACCACAAACCUGGACCAGCCUUUUCAGGACCCAC
rnacentral:lncRNA from 1 species